AUGGCCAAGUCCAAGAACCACACCACACACAACCAGUCCCACAAAUGGCACAGAAAUGUCAUCAAGUAAUCCUGGUCACAAGGAUACGAAUCUCUUAAGGGGGUUGACCCCAAGUUCCUGAGGAACAUGCUCUUUUCCAAGAAGCACAAGAAAGAUCUGAAGAAAAUGCAGGCCAACAAUACAAAGGCAGUGAGUGCAUGGGCAGAGGCCAUCAUGGCCCUCGUGAAGCCUCAGGCCAUCAAGCCCAAGAUGUCAAAGGGCCCCCAGCCACAAACUCAGCUGUCUGGCUUUCAUCAAUCACCCCAAGCUUGGAAAGCAAAUUUGAAGCUACAUGGCCAAUGGUUGUAGACUCUGCCAACCAAAGUCCAAGGUUCAGGCUGAGGCAGAGGCCAAAGCUUCAGUUAAGGCCCAGGCUUCAGCUCCAGCUCAGGCUCCCAAAGGUGCUCAGGCCCCUGUGAAGGCCCCA
rnacentral:lncRNA from 1 species